rnacentral:rRNA from 1 species
GGAUUAGUGGCGAACGGGUGAGUAACACGUGAGUAACCUGCCCUUGACUCUGGGAUAAGCCUGGGAAACUGGGUCUAAUACCGGAUAUGACCAUCUGGCGCAUGUCAUGGUGGUGGAAAGCUUUUGUGGUUUUGGAUGGACUCGCGGCCUAUCAGCUUGUUGGUGGGGUAAUGGCCUACCAAGGCGACGACGGGUAGCCGGCCUGAGAGGGUGACCGGCCACACUGGGACUGAGACACGGCCCAGACUCCUACGGGAGGCAGCAGUGGGGAAUAUUGCACAAUGGGCGCAAGCCUGAUGCAGCGACGCCGCGUGAGGGAUGACGGCCUUCGGGUUGUAAACCUCUUUCAGUAGGGAAGAAGCCUUUCGGGGUGACGGUACUUGCAGAAGAAGCGCCGGCUAACUACGUGCCAGCAGCCGCGGUAAUACGUAGGGCGCAAGCGUUAUCCGGAAUUAUUGGGCGUAAAGAGCUCGUAGGCGGUUUGUCGCGUCUGCUGUGAAAGACCGGGGCUCAACUCCGGUUCUGCAGUGGGUACGGGCAGACUAGAGUGCAGUAGGGGAGACUGGAAUUCCUGGUGUAGCGGUGAAAUGCGCAGAUAUCAGGAGGAACACCGAUGGCGAAGGCAGGUCUCUGGGCUGUAACUGACGCUGAGGAGCGAAAGCAUGGGGAGCGAACAGGAUUAGAUACCCUGGUAGUCCAU